rnacentral:rRNA from 1 species
GAUGAACGCUGACAGAAUGCUUAACACAUGCAAGUCUUUGGUGAAGCUGUGCUUGCUCAGCCUAGCCAAGGCGGACGGGUGAGUAACGCGUAAGGAACUUGCCCUGCAGUCAGGGAUAACAGACGGAAACGACUGAUAAGACCUGGUAAAGUCAGGCGGACUCAUGUCCAGCCUGAUGAAAAGAGAUGCUGCAGGAGAGCCUUGCGUCCUAUUAGCUUGUUGGUGGGGUAACGGCCCACCAAGGCAAUGAUAGGUAGCCGGCCUGAGAGGGUGGACGGCCACAAGGGGACUGAGAUACGGCCCUUACUCCUGCGGGGGGCAGCAGUGGGGAAUAUUGGACAAUGGGGGCAACCCUGAUCCAGCAGUUCUGUGUGCACGAUGAAGGUUUUCGGAUUGUAAAGUGCUUUCAGCAGGGAAGAAAAAAAUGACGGUACCUGCAGAAGAAGCGACGGCUAAAUACGUG